rnacentral:lncRNA from 1 species
GACGGUGUUCAUCUGAGUGGAUUAGUAAGGACAACAAAGAAAUAUGGGUUGGUUUCUUCCUCAACUAUUCUAUGAUUGAGUAGUCCUGCAUUUUCAUUUUCUUCAAAAAUUCUUCUGCCUCUUCUUCUAACACAACCUUCUUCUCUGGUUUUGGGUUAUCUUUAGCAAUUCUUCCCUUCCUCAAUUCUUCUGGGGAAAAGUGCCUUCGUGAUCGAGUUAUACCUCGUGCCUCACACACUUC